GGUGAACGCUGGCGACAUGUCUAAGGCAUGCAAGUCGAAUGCGAGCUUGCUCGCAUGGCAGACGGGAGAGUAACACAUUGGUAAUCUACCUUUAUCUCGAGCAUAAUCCGGAGAAAUCUGGAAUAAUACUCGAUAGUCAUGGGGGGACAUAAGUCAUUCCCACGUAAAGCUUCGGCGGAUAGAGAGGAGCCUAUGGCCCAUCAGCUUGUUGGUAAGGUAAUGGCUUACCAAGGCUACGACGGGUAGCGGGUGUGAGAGCAUGACCCGUCCCACUGGGACUGAGACACUGCCCAGACUCCUACGGGAGGCUGCAGUCAAGAAUCUUCCUCAAUGGACGAAAGUCUGAAGGAGCAAUGUCGCGUGAUCGAUGAAGCUUUUCGGAGUGUAAAGAUCUUUUAUCAGGGACGAAUUUGUGACGGUACCUGAAGAAUAAGUCACUGCUAACUACG
rnacentral:rRNA from 1 species